GGGGCUAUAGUUCAGUGGUAGAGUGUGGGCUUGGUGUGUACAAGGUCCUGGGUUCAAUCCUCAAUGCCUCCA
rnacentral:tRNA from 1 species